UCGGCCGAUGGAUAGGCCACCGGCUCUUCACCGUUUCGCCGGCGUAGAUAGGGAUGCACCAUGUCUCCCUGGAUCGGCCCUGGGCGGACGAU
rnacentral:tRNA from 1 species